AACGCGAAGAACCUUACCUACCCUUGACAUGUCUGCGAAGAGAUCAGAGAAGGUUUCGUGCCGAAAGGAACGCAGAGACAGGUGCUGCAUGGCUGUCGUCAGCUCGUGUUGUGAGAUGUUGGGUUAAGUCCCGUAACGAGCGCAACCCUUGUCCUUAGUUGCCAUCAUUUAGUUGGGGACUCUAAGGAGACUGCCGGUGAAGAACCGGAGGAAGGCGGGGACGACGUCAAGUCAUCAUGGCCUUUAUGGGUAGGGCUACACACGUGCUACAAUGGGGCGUACAGAGGGUAGCGAACCCGCGAGGGGAAGCCAAUCUCAGAAAGCGCCUCGUAGUCCAGAUUGGAGUCUGCAACUCGACUCCAUGAAGUUGGAAUCGCUAGUAAUCGCGAAUCAGCAACGUCGCGGUGAAUACGUUCCCGGGCCUUGUA
rnacentral:rRNA from 1 species